rnacentral:rRNA from 1 species
AACGAACGCUGGCGGCAUGCCUAACACAUGCAAGUCGAACGAGACCUUCGGGUCUAGUGGCGCACGGGUGCGUAACGCGUGGGAACCUGCCCUUAGGUUCGGAAUAACUCCUCGAAAGGGGUGCUAAUACCGGAUAAUGUCUUCGGACCAAAGAUUUAUCGCCUUUGGAUGGGCCCGCGUUGGAUUAGCUAGUUGGUAGGGUAAAAGCCUACCAAGGCGACGAUCCAUAGCUGGUCUGAGAGGAUGAUCAGCCACACUGGGACUGAGACACGGCCCAGACUCCUACGGGAGGCAGCAGUGGGGAAUAUUGGACAAUGGGCGAAAGCCUGAUCCAGCAGUGCCGCGUGAGUGAUGAAGGCCUUAGGGUUGUAAAGCUCUUUUACCCGGGAUGAUAAUGACAGUACCGGGAGAAUAAGCUCCGGCUAACUCCGUG